AAGACUUCGAUGUUGGUCCAAUGU
rnacentral:siRNA from 1 species